GGGACGACGUCAAAUCAUCAUGCCCUUUAUGUCCUGGGCUACAUACGUACUACAAUGGCCGUUACAACGGGAAGCGAAGGAGCAAUCCGGAGCAAAUCCCUUAAAGGCGGUCCCAGUUCAGAUUGUGGGCUGAAACUCGCCCACAUGAAGGCGGAAUUGCUAGUAAUUGCAGAUCAGCAUGCUGCAGUGAAUACGUUCCCGGGCCUU
rnacentral:rRNA from 1 species